rnacentral:rRNA from 1 species
CCUACGGGUGGCAGCAGUCGAGAAUCAUUCACAAUGGGGGAAACCCUGAUGGUGCGACGCCGCGUGGGGGAAUGAAGGUCUUCGGAUCGUAAACCCCUGUCAUGUGGGAGCAAAUUAAAAAGAUAGUACCACAAGAGGAAGAGACGGCUAACUCUGUGCCAGGAGCCGCGGUAAUACAGAGGUGUCAAGCGUUGUUCGGAAUUCCUGGGCGUAAAGCGUGGGGAGGCUGUUUCGUAAGUCGUGUGUGAAAAGCGCGGGGUCAACCCGCGGACGGCAGAUGAUACUGCGAGGCUAGAGUAAGGGAGGGGGAAGCGGAAUUCUCGGUGUAGCAGUGAAAUGCGUAGAUAUCGAGAGGAACACU